rnacentral:ncRNA from 1 species
AAAAGGCAAACCGUCUGUAAAGGCGGGGCGCAAAGCCACGGAUCCAACCUAUUCACAGUGCACGAAUGCAUUCUGAGUUUGCUGGACCGCCGGGUUGCCAA